GACGAACGCUGGCGGCGUGCUUAACACAUGCAAGUCGAACGGAAAGGCCCUGCUUUUGUGGGGUGCUCGAGUGGCGAACGGGUGAGUAACACGUGAGUAACCUGCCCUUGACUUUGGGAUAACUUCAGGAAACUGGGGCUAAUACCGGAUAGGAGCUCCUGCUGCAUGGUGGGGGUUGGAAAGUUUCGGCGGUUGGGGAUGGACUCGCGGCUUAUCAGCUUGUUGGUGGGGUAGUGGCUUACCAAGGCUUUGACGGGUAGCCGGCCUGAGAGGGUGACCGGCCACAUUGGGACUGAGAUACGGCCCAGACUCCUACGGGAGGCAGCAGUGGGGAAUAUUGCACAAUGGGCAGAAGCCUGAUGCAGCAACGCCGCGUGCGGGAUGACGGCCUUCGGGUUGUAAACCGCUUUCGCCUGUGACGAAGCGUGAGUGACGGUAAGGGGUAAAGAAGCACCGGCUAACUACG
rnacentral:rRNA from 1 species